rnacentral:lncRNA from 1 species
AGUUAUCAGAGGAGCUGUUGCUUUCAUAAGAGAAAAACAGGAUGCUAUGAAAAAGUAACAAUAGAAAAAGAAUAAACACUUGUAAAGUAAGUAUAUAAAUGUGAUGGGGAACAAAAGAAUCAGUAUUAGGAUCAAAAGAUAAGGACAAAGAAAUUAGCCAGCACGGGAAGUGGUGGCUCUUAGGACUUGGACCGGAUCCAGAAGGUGGUGGGAAAGAGACGGUAGCUUUUAGCUGUGCGAGUAUUACUUUGAUAAAUACAAGAUGUGACCUGAGUGACAGAGUUUUCUUUGUGACGAUGAAAAAGUUUCAGAAACACAUGGUAGGGAUGGUUUCACAGCACUGUGAAUGCAGUUAAUGCCACCGAAUCGUAUACUUGAAAAUGAUCAAAAUGGCAAUUUUUAUGUUUACAUGUAUUUUACCACACUAAGAAGAAAGAAGCAUGACCCAAAGAUUAACAUUAAAAGAGUCGUUUCAAAAGUGGUUGAGGGAACUCAUCUGGGCAAAACAGAUAGAUGGUAAGAGAGGAGGCAGUGAGAAGAAGCCUGGGUGUGGGAGCUGCAUGUCCAGGCCGCUUUGGAUCGUCUCGAGAGCGGUAAACACGGACGCCGGCCUGACUCACGGAAGGGCGUGUGGCCCGGGGAAACAUGCGUGAAUAAUGAGACAGCCGCGGCGCUUGCACAAGCUGAACGCUAUCAUGUAAUUUCCCUCCAGGAAAAUUUCCUCUGGGAGAAAUUCCUGAGCCAUAUCUUCCUUGGAUAUCUUCCUGAACAAUCCCAGAUCCAACACGCUGCGUGCGUGACUGAGGAUACCACACAGCCAUCGUGAACAAUCCGCUCAAAUUGAAAGAGCGUUUAAUUUCUGUUUACAGACUAUGAAGAGCGCAUGUGCAAAAAUCGGAUUCAUGAGGGUUUGUGUCAGGAAGUGGAGAGAAUGUGCAGGAAGAAGAGACACCGGGUUAUUAAGAAUUGGUUUAGAAAGAGUCUGUUCAUGGGCGCCUGGGCGGCACAGCAGUUAAGCGUCUGCCUUUGGCUCAGGGCGUGAUCCCGGUGUUCUGGGAUCGAGCCCCACAUCGAGCCCCACAUCGAGCCCCACAUCGGGCUCCUCCGCUAGGAGCCUGUUUCUUCCUCUCCCACUCGCCCUGCUGUGUUCCCUCUCUCGCUGGCUGUCUCUGUCACAUAAAUAAAUAAAAUCUUAAAAAAAAAAAAAAGUCUGUUCAGUAGAAGGUAUGCAAAGCUAAGUAAUAAUGAGAAGCUAUAUUUUGCCUAUCAAACUGUCAGAUUAAAAUAAAAUUAAAGGAAUACCAAAUCAUAAAGGAUACAGCUGGCACGGAUCCAUUCUGCGUACUGAUAGGCGGGGAGAUCAGUUCAAGUUCACUAAAGGGGAUGUGUGAAAACCUAAAAGUACCUACAACUUUCAGAUUAUUUAUACUCUUUGACCUAACAGUUCGCCUCAGAAGAAUUUGUUUCAAGGAAAAGUAUCUGUGCAAGUUAAUUAUCAGUGGAAGUCACUUCAAUGUCCAAGAGUAGGGAAAUAGUUAAAUAAAUCAUGUUUCAUUAGUAAGACAAUAUAUAGCUAGAAAAAAUUUUAAAUCUAGAAAUGCUCGUGUAUAAUUUGAAUUUUCAAGAAAUAUAACACUUCUUCCCUUUCGUUUGCUCAUUUCCCCUUCCUUUCCCUUCCCUUCCCUUUCCUCCAUUUCCCCUCUCUUCCCUUCAGUUUAGUCCUGAAGCCAUUAGAUGGGGCAGAGCAAGGUAGGCGUCCACAAGGAGGGUCGGGCUGGCAUGGGGAAUAGGAAGUCAGAGCCCGAGGCAGGUGAAUGGGGCAUCCAUGGAGGUGAGAGGGAUUUGGGGUGAGGAAUGAGGGGGGAUCCAGCCUGAAGAGUCAGAGCUUGACCAGCUAGCAAGGUGUCCACUCAGAGGGGGACCUGGUGUGGGGUUUGGAAACUGAAAUGGGGAGCAUCCAUUUAGGGGGUGGCCUGGCUCAGAGUGUCAGACUCAGGUAGGCAACGGGCAUCCAUAUGGAAUGGGGACAGUGGCAGCAAUGGAAGAUUGGUUACCUAUGUGGAGAUUGAGCAAAUAAGUAAAUAAGUUAAAAAAUACGGGAAAAGAAGGUUAUAAAUAUGGAAAUGUAGAUAUAAGUACAGAAAGGGAGAAAACUAGUAUGAGCCCCGUGGGGUUAGAUUGGAUUUGGAGGUAUUGGUGAGAACUCAUGGUUUUCAAUGUAAAUAUGUAAAUAACAUGCAUGUAAGUGUGUGCGUGCGUGUGUGUGUCUGUGUGUCCGUGUGUGUAACUGGUUCUCUUUGCUAUAUUCCCAGGCUCUGUCCACUGGCAGAGCCUUGGAGCUCUCUCACCCCAGCAACCAUAAACGCACAAAAUACUGUUCUCCACAGAAACAACCAGGUGUCUUUGGAGAAAUGACUAGUUCCAGGGCAAGGAAAAUUCAAGAUGAGCUUGGACCAUCUUGUCGUUUCUCAAAGCAGGGAAGUGCCUAAAGAAUCAUGGGCACACGGCAACAGCACCCAGAAGCCAGAUUUAAAGGGCUUCCACUGACUAAUUUGGGGACAGAUUAUACAACUCCUCGAAUAAAACAAGAAACCACGAGUCUCCACUGAUACAAGUAAAUAAGUACAUUGUACAUGUGAUAAGGAGUUAAACACUUGCAUCGUCUCAAAGUACAUCCGCCGCAAGAUCUUUAUUACUUAUUGUUAUUACAAGAGAAAAACAAUGGUAACUUCAGCAGAGAAACCUGGCAAAUUCUACCUUAAUCAAGGGAACAAAGUAAACAUCACUGAAUCAAGCUGGCAUUGAGGGGAACUGAAUGUGGUGGGAGGAACAUACAUCACUUCUGUGGAGAAUCUGAACGGGAUCAGGACAAACCCACACUGAGGGACAUUCUACAAGAUAACUGGCUUAUAACCUUCCGAAGAGUCAAAGCCGUGUAUCAAAGACAGCCCGAGGAACUCUGUCAGACCCAAGGAGAAUACACAGACAUGGCAACUAAAAGAAAUAAAUGACCCUGGAUUGGAUUAUUUUGCUAAAAAGGACAUUAUUGGGACAAAUGGUAACAUUUGAAGAGAGUCUGAGCCAGGUGGUAGCAUAAUGUUAGUGCUAACGUCCUAGUGUGGGUGGUCGUGUUGUGGUUACGUGUGCAAAUAUCCUCGUUUGUAAGAAGGACGCACUAACAUAUUCAGAGGUGAAGGAGCAAAUGGCUUAGGAAAAAACAUUCUUUGUACUGUACUUGUAACUUCUAAGUUGGGUAUUACUUCAGACACUUUAAAAUGUGUUUUUAAAGUAUAAUAAAUCACAAAUAAUAUUCCAAUCAUGCUUUUAAAGAUAUACAUGUUUGUGUGUAUAUUUUUAAAAAGAUCUUAUUUAUUUAUUUACUUGAGAGAGAGAAAACGGGAGCAGGGGAAAGGACAGCGGCCUUGUAUGUAUAUUUGCACAUAAAAAAGCUAAAAGUAUAUGCACCAAAAUAUUG